GAGAGGAAAUUAAAAGAAUACUUAUACACUAAAAAAAUGCAAGGGAAGAAGUAGGAAAUCCUGAAGGGUGGAAUAUUUUCAGCAUAAUGAAGACGUGUCUGGAUGCUGGCCUAAAGCUGGAAGAAGAAUGAAGAACCAUGGCAUGUGAAAAAGGCUUCCCUUGUCACGUCUUCUCAAAGACAGACAGCCUACCCCCAGAAGAGCCCUGGAGUUUUUGAAGAGGAGAAGAAAAAGAAAGGAGGAAGAAAGGAACCAGCUUUGAAGUUUCAAUGAAUGGUGCCAGAAAAGACCCCCCCCACACAAACAAACAUUCCCCCCCACCGCAAACCCAAUGGGUCCUGAGAACAGCUCCAGAAGAAACCACUGCAGAUUGUUAUCCUGGAACUGAAACUGUGGUGCAGAAGUGGGAAGAUAAAAGCAGCACACUCCAGCAAGGGUACACGAGAAGAAAGUGGAAACUGGUGUUAGGAGGACUGGCUCAAGAGGGGAAGUUCAUGACCUAUCAUCAACCUAUCAAAUUUGAAAAUUCUACCCAAUUUCCCAGUGACUCACACUCUCUUGGAAACAGUCCUCAUUAGCUGCAGUCUGUGCUCCACGCUUUGGAAUAAUCACUUAUUGUCGGACA